AGUGAACGCUGGCGGUAGGCCUAACACAUGCAAGUCGAACGGCAGCACAGUAAGAGCUUGCUCUUACGGGUGGCGAGUGGCGGACGGGUGAGGAAUACAUCGGAAUCUACUUUUUCGUGGGGGAUAACGUAGGGAAACUUACGCUAAUACCGCAUACGACCUACGGGUGAAAGCAGGGGAUCUUCGGACCUUGCUCGAUUGAAUGAGCCGAUGUCGGAUUAGCUAGUUGGCGGGGUAAAGGCCCACCAAGGCGACGAUCCGUAGCUGGUCUGAGAGGAUGAUCAGCCACACUGGAACUGAGACACGGUCCAGACUCCUACGGGAGGCAGCAGUGGGGAAUAUUGGACAAUGGGCGCAAGCCUGAUCCAGCCAUACCGCGUGGGUGAAGAAGGCCUUCGGGUUGUAAAGCCCUUUUGUCGGGAAAGAAAAGCAGCAGGUUAAUACCCCGCUGUUCUGACGGUACCCAAAGAAUAAGCACCGGCUAACUUCGUG
rnacentral:rRNA from 1 species